rnacentral:rRNA from 1 species
UUGGAGCAUGUGCACGCCUGUCUUGACUCUCAUAAUACACCUGUGCACCAUUUGUAGUCUUGGGGGCUGUAAGUGGCUGACUGUCGGGGAACAUCAUUCCCGGAUUUGAGGACUGCAGUGUGAAAGCACGGCUUUUCCUCUACUGGCCAUGAACCCAGGUCUAUGUACUUAUUCAUACACCAUGUAGUAUGUUGCAGAAUGUAUCGCAUGGGCCUUUGUGCCUAUAAGAACUAUAUACAACUUUCAGCAACGGAUCUCUUGGCUCUCGCAUCGAUGAAGAACGCAGCGAAAUGCGAUAAGUAAUGUGAAUUGCAGAAUUCAGUGAAUCAUCGAAUCUUUGAACGCACCUUGCGCUCCUUGGUAUUCCGAGGAGCAUGCCUGUUUGAGUGUCAUUAAAUUCUCAACUCCUCCAGCUCUUGCAGCUGGCUUGGGGCUUGGAUUGUGGAGGGUUUGCUGGUGGCCUUGGCCAAUCAGCUCCUCUGAAAUGCAUUAGCGGAACUGUUUGCGAUCCGUCACAGGUGUGAUAAUUAUCUACGCCAGUGGAUUGCUCUCUGUCUGUUCAGCUGCCAACCGUCUCUGGUGAAGGGACACUCUUUUUUUGAACACUUGACCUCAAAUCAGGUAGGACUACCCGCUGAACUUAAGCAUAUCAAUAAGCCGGAG